GGGCUGAAGACUUGAGAGCUGAGGCGC
rnacentral:piRNA from 1 species